UACGUAGGGUGCAAGCGUUGUCCGGAAUUAUUGGGCGUAAAGAGCUCGUAGGCGGUUCGUCGCGUCGGCUGUGAAAUCCCGGAGCUCAACUCCGGGUCUGCAGUCGAUACGGGCGGACUCGAGUUCGGCAGGGGAGACUGGAAUUCCUGGUGUAGCGGUGGAAUGCGCAGAUAUCAGGAGGAACACCGGUGGCGAAGGCGGGUCUCUGGGCCGUUACUGACGCUGAGGAGCGAAAGCGUGGGGAGCGAACAGG
rnacentral:rRNA from 1 species